rnacentral:rRNA from 2 species
UGGCUCAGGACGAACGCUGGCGGCGUGCCUAAUACAUGCAAGUCGAACGAACUCUGGUAUUGAUUGGUGCUUGCAUCAUGAUUUACAUUUGAGUGAGUGGCGAACUGGUGAGUAACACGUGGGAAACCUGCCCAGAAGCGGGGGAUAACACCUGGAAACAGAUGCUAAUACCGCAUAACAACUUGGACCGCAUGGUCCGAGUUUGAAAGAUGGCUUCGGCUAUCACUUUUGGAUGGUCCCGCGGCGUAUUAGCUAGAUGGUGGGGUAACGGCUCACCAUGGCAAUGAUACGUAGCCGACCUGAGAGGGUAAUCGGCCACAUUGGGACUGAGACACGGCCCAAACUCCUACGGGAGGCAGCAGUAGGGAAUCUUCCACAAUGGACGAAAGUCUGAUGGAGCAACGCCGCGUGAGUGAAGAAGGGUUUCGGCUCGUAAAACUCUGUUGUUAAAGAAGAACAUAUCUGAGAGUAACUGUUCAGGUAUUGACGGUAUUUAACCAGAAAGCCACGGCUAACUACGUGCCAGCAGCCGCGGUAAUACGUAGGUGGCAAGCGUUGUCCGGAUUUAUUGGGCGUAAAGCGAGCGCAGGCGGUUUUUUAAGUCUGAUGUGAAAGCCUUCGGCUCAACCGAAGAAGUGCAUCGGAAACUGGGAAACUUGAGUGCAGAAGAGGACAGUGGAACUCCAUGUGUAGCGGUGAAAUGCGUAGAUAUAUGGAAGAACACCAGUGGCGAAGGCGGCUGUCUGGUCUGUAACUGACGCUGAGGCUCGAAAGUAUGGGUAGCAAACAGGAUUAGAUACCCUGGUAGUCCAUACCGUAAACGAUGAAUGCUAAGUGUUGGAGGGUUUCCGCCCUUCAGUGCUGCAGCUAACGCAUUAAGCAUUCCGCCUGGGGAGUACGGCCGCAAGGCUGAAACUCAAAGGAAUUGACGGGGGCCCGCACAAGCGGUGGAGCAUGUGGUUUAAUUCGAAGCUACGCGAAGAACCUUACCAGGUCUUGACAUACUAUGCAAAUCUAAGAGAUUAGACGUUCCCUUCGGGGACAUGGAUACAGGUGGUGCAUGGUUGUCGUCAGCUCGUGUCGUGAGAUGUUGGGUUAAGUCCCGCAACGAGCGCAACCCUUAUUAUCAGUUGCCAGCAUUAAGUUGGGCACUCUGGUGAGACUGCCGGUGACAAACCGGAGGAAGGUGGGGAUGACGUCAAAUCAUCAUGCCCCUUAUGACCUGGGCUACACACGUGCUACAAUGGAUGGUACAACGAGUUGCGAACUCGCGAGAGUAAGCUAAUCUCUUAAAGCCAUUCUCAGUUCGGAUUGUAGGCUGCAACUCGCCUACAUGAAGUCGGAAUCGCUAGUAAUCGCGGAUCAGCAUGCCGCGGUGAAUACGUUCCCGGGCCUUGUACACACCGCCCGUCACACCAUGAGAGUUUGUAACACCCAAAGUCGGUGGGGUAACCUUUUAGGAACCAGCCGCCUAAGGUGGGACAGAUGAUUA